GCGGCAGGCCUAAUACAUGCAAGUCGAACGGGAAAUCAGGCGCUUGCGCUUGAUGGAGAGUGGCGAACGGGUGCGUAACACGUAUGCAACCUACCUCUGACAGGGAGAUAGCCCGGAGAAAUUCGGAUUAAUAUCCCAUAAUAUAAAGAUGUGGCAUCACAAUUUUAUCAAAGCUCCGGCGGUCAGAGAUGGGCAUGCGUUCCAUUAGUUAGUUGGUGAGGUAACGGCUCACCAAGACCACGAUGGAUAGGGGGUCUGAGAGGAUGAUCCCCCACACUGGUACUGAGACACGGACCAGACUCCUACGGGAGGCAGCAGUAGGGAAUAUUGGACAAUGGGCGAAAGCCUGAUCCAGCCAUGCCGCGUGCAGGAUGACUGCCCUAUGGGUUGUAAACUGCUUUUAUAUAGGAAGAAACCCUCGUACGUGUACGGGGCUGACGGUACUAUAAGAAUAAGGAUCGGCUAACUCCGUGCCAGCGGCCGCGGUAAUACGGAGGAUCCAAGCGUUGUCCGGAUUUAUUGGGUUUAAAGGGUACGUAGGCGGAACGAUAAGUCAGUGGUGAAAGCCUGCAGCUUAACUGCAGAACUGCCAUUGAAACUGCCGUUCUUGAGUUCGGUCGAGGUGGAUGGAAUAUAUCAUGUAGCGGUGAAAUGCUUAGAUAUGAUAUAGAACACCGAUUGCGAAGGCAGUCCACUAGUCCGACACUGACGCUGAGGUACGAAAGCAUGGGUAUCGAACAGGAUUAGAUACCCUGGUAGUCCAUGCUGUAAACGAUGAACACUCGAUGUUGGCGAUACACUGUCAGCGUCCAAGCGAAAGCAUUAAGUGUUCCACCUGGGGAGUACGAUCGCAAGGUUGAAACUCAAGGAAUUGAC
rnacentral:rRNA from 1 species